rnacentral:misc_RNA from 1 species
GAUGAAGAACGCAGCGAAAUGCGAUAGCUAGUGUGAAUUGCAGAUUUCAGUGAAUCAUCGAGUUUUUGAACGCACAUUGCGCUCCUUGGUAUUCCUCGGAGCAUGCCUAUUCGAGCGUCGUUUGGUCUCUCAAGCCUGGCUUGGUGUUGGGGCACGCCCUCGCUUGCGAGCGGCGGCCCUCGAAAUCAUCGGCGGUGCCGGUGUGCCUGGAAGCGCAGCAAAAUGCGAAGUCCAAAGCACCGACGCCCGCCGGAUCAAACGUCUUUGACACUUUUUUUACAAAAAGACCUCGAAUUAGGUAGGGAUACCCGCUGAACUUAAGCAUAUCAAUAAGCGGGAGGA